CCUACGGGAGGCAGCAGUAGGGAAUAUUGGUCAAUGGGCGCAAGCCUGAACCAGCCAUGCCGCGUGCAGGAUGACGGCCUUCUGGGUUGUAAACUGCUUUUAUCAGGGAAGAAAACGGCCAUGCGUGGCAGAUUGACGGUACCUGAAGAAUAAGCACCGGCUAACUCCGUGCCAGCAGCCGCGGUAAUACGGAGGGUGCAAGCGUUGUCCGGAUUUAUUGGGUUUAAAGGGUGCGUAGGCGGAUUAUUAAGUCAGUGGUGAAAGUUUGCGGCUCAACCGUAAAAGUGCCAUUGAUACUGGUAGUCUUGAGUACAGUAGAGGUAGGCGGAAUUUAUGGUGUAGCGGUGAAAUGCAUAGAUACCAUAAAGAACACCGAUAGCGAAGGCAGCUUACUAUACUGAGACUGACGCUGAGGCACGAAAGCGUGGGGAGCGAACAGGAUUAGAUACCCUGGUAGUCCACGCUGUAAACGAUGAAGACUCGCUGUUGGCGAUACACAGCCAGUGGCCAAGCGAAAGCGUUAAGUCUUCCACCUGGGGAGUACGAUCGCAAGAUUGAAACUCAAAUGAAUUGACGGAAUCGUCGACNGCNNNNNNACUGUNNC
rnacentral:rRNA from 1 species